UACGUAGGGUCCAAGCGUUGUCCGGAUUUAUUGGGAGUAAAGAGCUCGUAGGCGGCUCAGUAAGUCGGAUGUGAAAACUCGGGGCUCAACCCCGAGACGCCAUCCGAUACUGCUGUGGCUUGAGUCUGGUAGGGGAACACGGAAUUCCUGGUGUAGCGGUGAAAUGCGCAGAUAUCAGGAGGAACACCGAUGGCGAAGGCAGGUCUCUGGGCAUUAACUGACGCUGAGGAGCGAAAGCAUGGGGAGCGAACAGG
rnacentral:rRNA from 1 species